UACAGAGGGGGCAAGCGUUGUUCGGAAUUACUGGGCGUAAAGGGCGCGCAGGCGGCCAUCUAAGUCAGACGUGAAAUCCCCCGGCUUAACCUGGGAACUGCGUCUGAUACUGGAAGGCUUGAGUAUGGGAGAGGGAUGUAGAAUUCCAGGUGUAGCGGUGAAAUUCGUAGAUAUCGAGAGGAACACCUGUGGCGAAGGCGGCCUUCUGGACGACAACUGACGCUGAGACGCGAAAGCGUGGGGAGCAAACAGG
rnacentral:rRNA from 1 species